rnacentral:rRNA from 1 species
CCUACGGGAGGCAGCAGUGGGGAAUUUUGGACAAUGGGCGCAAGCCUGAUCCAGCCAUGCCGCGUGUGGGAAGAAGGCCUUCGGGUUGUAAACCACUUUUGUCAGGGAAGAAACGGUCUGAACUAAUACUUUGGACUAAUGACGGUACCUGAAGAAUAAGCACCGGCUAACUACGUGCCAGCAGCCGCGGUAAUACGUAGGGUGCAAGCGUUAAUCGGAAUUACUGGGCGUAAAGCGUGCGCAGGCGGCUUUGCAAGACAGAUGUGAAAUCCCCGGGCUCAACCUGGGAACUGCAUUUGUGACUGCAUGGCUAGAGUACGGUAGAGGGGGAUGGAAUUCCGCGUGUAGCAGUGAAAUGCGUAGAUAUGCGGAGGAACACCGAUGGCGAAGGCAAUCCCCUGGACCUGUACUGACGCUCAUGCACGAAAGCGUGGGGAGCAAACAGGAUUAGAUACCCUGGUAGUCCACGCCCUAAACGAUGUCAACUGGUUGUUGGGAGGGUUUCUUCUCAGUAACGAAGCUAACGCGUGAAGUUGACCGCCUGGGGGAGGACGGUCCGGCGAGUUAGAACGUACGAAGGAAGUUAGACGGCGNGAGACGNGCGACGGACGACGACGAGGGAGGAGG